AUAGCGAGAAAUGCUUUGGUGUACAAAUCCAUCUCUCCCCAUUUAAGUGAGCAGAAGGCAACUGCUGAAACAAUAACUUGGCUGCAGGGUUAAAGGAACCCCAUUUCCCAAAUUUACUUGUGAAAUUUAGAAUUUCUAACUUCUCUUUCAUUGUAACAUUCAUUUUGUGACGUGCCACUGUCACCUGCCAUCCCAGCUCCUCCUCACUUCUUUCACCGUCCAAAACCUCUCCACAACAUCCUUUGAAUACAUAGGUUACCUUACAGCAUGCAGCACUGAACAGCACACCUGAAUUGGGAGUGCUAUGUCAGUUUCCCUCAAAUACGUACUCCGUUUUCUCUGUUCCAACACGCCAGGCAGGGGAAAGUUACUGCUUCCCCUUCAAAAGCACCUUGCCCUGAGCAUCCCAAAAGAGGGGCAAACUAGCUGAAUGCAACAGCUGGCUGCACCCAUAUUAUUAGCUCAGUCUCAUAUCCUGAGUUAUCAAGAGAUGUUCCCUGUCCUGUUUUCUCAUUACUUUUGAUGACAGGAAAGCAAGCUGGUGUCUUUGGACUUUGAUAUUCCUAUCUGCUGUGCAUGAGAUACAUAGGCACGGCUCCUACAGUUGAACAAUUUAUGAGGGAGGUUGCUUAGCACUUUCUGAAUGCUCCGGUGACAAAACCAAACAUGGCUGGGCUGCCUUUCCACCUACAGGCAAGACAGAGCAGGAUUUUAUCUAGUGUUAGAUCCUGGCUCUGCAGCUGGGGAAUCACACAAGUCAAUGACCCCACUGCCCUGGAGCCUCCUUAUUGUUGCACCUCGUGCAGUAACCAGAGCACAGCAAAGGUUUUCUCCCUCAGAACUCUUCAGCAUGACUCCUGGAUGCAAAACAAGCGAAGGUGGACUGUGUCAGCAGGUGUUAAUAACAGGGAAUGUUUUGAGGAAAACACAGCUUCCACCAACAGGAAUUCAACCCCAUACUUGGUAAGGCUUCAUUUGCAUCACAGUAGUAUGCACAAAUCAUGCUAGUGAUACCAAAACUCGUUCAUAAUCCAAAUUCUUAAUGCUAAAUGAUUGAAAAUAAAAUCUUUUUUCAAGUUAUGCAACUAUCUUGUAACAGAAAAUGGUUUAGAAAAGUGAGGAACAAAUGCCUCACAUAUUUUGAACUAAAAUAUUAUCUCAAAAAGUUGAAGCUAGAUGAACAUUUCUUACAGGUUUCUGAAAAGUUUCAACACUGGAGCUUUAAUUUGGUGCUCAAGAAUGUAUUUUAAACUAAUGAGGAAACCAGUUCCUCACUGUUUGGCUCACUGAGGCCAAGGAAUUUUGUCAAGUAAUGUGUGUGGGAAAAUUAAAGCGAAUAAUUAAUGAGGCACCAUCAGCAUUUUAAAACUGUCCGCUAGAAAAAUUUAAAGGUUUUAAGAAAAAUCUUGUUAGCAAUAAAACUGGGCUCUGUUAAACACUAACACCUUAAUUUGAAUUAAAUUACAGAUCAAAACAAAAACAUUGCUGAUACAAUGUUUUGUAUUAGCAAUGUUUUUCUUUUGAUCUAUAAUUCAAUUAUCACAGUAUUUCCACAUCUGAUCCUCAAAGCAAUCAGGACCUGUUGUAACAUAUAUUAAAUGUUAAUAUAAAAUUGUUAUAUUAAAUUCCUUAUGAAGAUGACCUGCAACAACCAAAACAACACCUCCAAACCCAACACAGGUUUGAAGGCCACUGGCUACAACAUUCACUGGGUGCAAACACAGUCCCCGUAGCUGAACAGGACAGGCACUAUUCAAUGUAACUGAAGCUUUAAGUGAUGACUGUGGGUAGCUUAGGAUCAUCUUUUUAUAGUUUUCAAUUUACCUUCCCAGUAUCAAAACUAUUUCAUAAACAUUCACAUUAGUCCAAAUUUCAAAGAAACUUCCAACUCCAUUUUGUAAGCUAUUUCCAUUUCUCUGUUUUGUAAGCUAUCAUCUUGCCCGCAAACAAAAUAAAAUAACUUCAAGAAUGUAAUUUCAAAAUGAAUAUAAUUGCCCAAAAAGACAAAAUGAGAAAAAAAAGUAUUUGAAAGAACUAUGUCAAUAUAAUUUUUACCUUGGAACAGAUACCACUGGAAAACUGCUGUGACUGAAAAACAUGACAUUUUAAACCUCAUCCACAGAUGAUAAUUAUCUUCAAGUGUCAAGCAUUAAAAAACAAAACAGGUUUGCAGGAAUUAAACCAGUAUUGCUUCUUUUAUGGCCUGACAACUGUGACCAAACUGUCUUUAGUUUAGUUCACAUUUAUUAAUCCUAAGCAAUCUAAGUUAUUCAAAUACAAAAUAAAUUUAAACAUCCUGAACUGUCAACCCAAAGUAUUUCAUGGCAUUUUAGCCAUCAUGAUCUUGGUUAAAGUUUCUCACAGUGUUUUUGAUGUCUCCACUGAAACUAAAACAACUAGGAAUAACUUGGUGAAGAUGAGAUUCCUCCUGCAACUCUUUGCAAGGCUGCCUGUCAUCAGGAAGAAAACUACAGAUAAUGAAAGCUGCAAGUGGCCUUUCAUCUUAUUGUUAGGAAGCUGAGCAAGCCUACCUACCCCGAGCCCUCCACAGCAGCUGCUCACUGCUAGCUCACGAGCAACCUUCUCAUCUUUGACUUCCAAGUGCUGAAUACAAAGGGAAAAGAUGAACAAUUAUACCCAAUAAGGAACGGCAAGCUUUACUUUAUGGGCUGGUAAAUUUUCUUAGCAGCCAUAGGUGUAAUUCUAAGAAAUUACAGAAUUCCACUUAAAUAUGUCUUUCCCAAACAUUUGAAUAUUCAUGGUGUCAGUUGUGGUGUUCUUCAGGAUCUUAGUAUCUUGAAUAGGUUUUUUGUGGAUGCAUAUCCUAAAUAACUAAGAACCAUGCACAGUUAAUUGACAGCUUGUCCACAGCAUUCCUGUUGUAGACAUUUCCCUCUCCUGCCAUAGUUGCAUUGAACAUAAUUUUUGAUGAAAAAUAUUUUGCAAGUACACUUCAAAGUGAACUAGGUGCUCAAAAAAUACUGAAACUAAGUUGCUUAAUAUCUUUGAACCAAAGUGUUGAAUAUCCAAGUUCUAAUGCCUUUUUGUAUUCUAUGUCACAUUAAAUUAACUGCCAAAAAGUACAAUGCUCACCAGGGAACAAAGGCAUGAUGCUUCACAGUAAUUUCCUGGGCAGGAAAUGAAAGCCUCCAGAUAACGCUGAGCUGUGAAUCCUUGACUUUCACGGCAUAGGACUCAAGUUCUUAUUAACUGAUGAAAGAUAGCACACUGACGAUAUUAAAACCAAAAUCUGAACUGAUUCAGCUGUCCAGUGUUUGCUGACAACUGGUGAGAGAAGUUGAAUCAACUUCCAAAUUAUUUUAACAACUUGAUUUAUCUAUUAAAGCCUAUUGUAUUACUUGUAUUUGCUUAAGAUGGCACAAAUAACAUUUGUAAAAGUAAACUGCUCCACAAGAAAAGAAAGCUCUGCCACAUCCCACACUUCAACUACCUAGAGAGGAAAGGCAUGUUCCACUCUGUAGUAAAAAGCAGAAACUCCCACAGCCCUCCAUUACCCACAAAAUAUAUCAUAUCCAUGGACUAACCACUAGCUCUCCCUCUGUCUCAUGUUCUUACAUUAACCACCAGACAACUAGAUUUUUUCUCUAAAUAUGAUUUAAUUAAAAACACUAAAUCAGCUUUGACUUUUAUUUUAUAUAUGUACAAUAGUUAACCAAAUAAUGAAUACACUUAAUCAGUUAUGUUAAAUUUCACAUAACGUCAAAGGACAUCAGCACGGCAUGGAAUAAACUCACUGCCUUUUGCAGAUACAAAAAAUGUAUUAAUGUUAAUUGUGAUUACUAUUUGGUGUGUGGUUUGUUGGUUGGCUUUUUUACAACUUGCUUAUCAAUUCUCCAAAUAAUGUUGCCAUAAAAACAGUGUAAGUGUUUAAUUGAUCAGUUAAUAUAUUAACAAGUAUGAACAUUAGUAAAGUUUGCAAGGUAUCGAUUGCAAAAUUACAUCAAGUGUAGGACUGAAUGUAUUCACAUGAAAGUUACCUUCAGUUAGAAAAGUUUUGAAAAAGAGCCCAGGUUGGAGCUGUGCAUUAAUUUGGUCAAACUGAUUCGUAUGAAUGAACAGUCAAGUUUAUUUAGAUAUUGAAAAUACAAUUUUUAAUACUAUUAUUUUUAGUAUUCACAAACAAUUGUGUAUAUAGUGUGUGUAUGUGUGUAAAUAUAUA